UACGGGGGGGGCAAGCGUUGUUCGGAAUUACUGGGCGUAAAGGGCUCGUAGGCGGCUCGUUAAGUCAGACGUGAAAGCCCUCGGCUUAACCGGGGAACGGCGUCUGAGACUGGCAAGCUUGAAUCCGGGAGAGGGAUGCGGAAUUCCAGGUGUAGCGGUGAAAUGCGUAGAUAUCUGGAGGAACACCGGUGGCGAAGGCGGCAUCCUGGACCGGUAUUGACGCUGAGGAGCGAAAGCCAGGGGAGCAAACCGG
rnacentral:rRNA from 1 species